rnacentral:lncRNA from 1 species
UGGCGUGACAGCCCCGUGGGGGGCAGCCCGGCAGCCUCCUCCCGGCUGAUGCGCAGUGACAUUUGCAAUCUGUUGCCAUGGGCGCUCGGGGACUUUUGCUGUGGAGGGGGAUCGCGUUUCUCCCCCCUCCUCCUCCUCCUCCUCCCCUUCCCUCCCUCCCGAUGACGUCAUGGAUGACCACGGUGGUGACAGGGCCACCUGUGGGCUGAUGAGGGGUUUAAAGAGACAGUCUGCAGCUGCAACAGGAGCCCUGGCUAUUGUCUCCGCACCUGAGAGCGGGGAGACCUGCAGCCCCCAAACCAGCCAUCCAUCCGCCCGCCCGCCCGCCGCAUCCCGUCCCGUCCGUGUCACCUCAUCCCUGCAUCCCCUGCCUCCACCACUGCAGCUCUCCCGGGACCGUCCCAAGCUGGGUCCCGUAUCCCUUCCCUGUAGCGGCUCCGCCAAGAAACCUCUCCCGGGCUCUGGCGCACUCUGCCUUCAUCUCAGCUUAUCUGCCACAUCUGAAAUCUGAUUUCUACCAUCUGGUGCCCAACCAUCCACCCCCAGCAUGGCCCCAGGACCUUGGGGAGGUGAGUAGCAUCCCUGUUCAACACAAGGGUUUUACCAAAGGGAGAAAUACCUACUGUGGGAGAACCACCUACUGAGGAUUAUGGGGUCAUUGGGAUCACAGCAGGUCACAGCACACUUUCAAAGUUAUUUUGACUUAUCUUUCAAAGAUACUUUGACUUUUUUUCACUUCCAUCUUUGUAUGUGGGGUAAGGAGAAAAAAAUUAUAGCACUGUUCCUUUGCAUCCUGGACUAUCUGGUUUCCCAAGCCUGGUCACUUUGGAAAACAGGGAAAAGCUUUUCUCUUCCUCCCCACACACCAUAAUUUCUUCUGUUGAGGCUUCUUUGUAGUCAUGAGGGUACAGCUAAAACUUUGCACUCUCAAAGAGAUUGCAAACUAUAAAUCCUGGGAAGAACAGGAGGAACACGGAUCGGUUUGUUGUGGACAAGCCAAGAGUGAUCAGACCCACGAGUGGAACAGCAAUGUGUCCGGGGAGGAGCUCUCUGCCAGGCACUUGAGUCUUUCAGCAUAUAAUGCAGGGUGUGAGGGAGAAGAGCAGGCAGUGACACCACCUCCUUAUCCUGCCAGAGCUAGAGGAGAAAUGCAAGCCCAUGUCCCUCACAUCAAGGCUUGAGUUUGCUCCCACUUGUGUUGUGAUAGUGAGCUCACACCUCAUUUACAGGGAGAAAAACAGGGUGGAGUGGCCCAGGAAUAUGAAAUGAACCAUCUCCAAGAGCUGUAAUGCACACUUUCACCAAAAGCACCAGAAAUGAGUAUAAAUUUCUACACAGAGACCUGACAGGACUCCCUAGCAAGAUAUUGUGAGACACUUGAAUGACUCUCAUUAAAGGGAAAUUAAUUAGCUGAACAGCAGGGAUGUAAGCAAGAAAUGCAAAACAUAGAGCAACUGAUUUAAGGAAGAGGUUUACUGACCAAAAGAAAACCAGAAAAUAAAUAUGAAAAAAUAAGUCA